GCAAGAUGUCUCACAGGAAAUUCUCAGCUCCCAGGCAUGGGUCCUUGGGCUUCUUGCCUCACAAGUGCAGUGGCCGGCAUAGUGGGAAAGUGACAAGCUUCCCUAAGGAUGAUGCUUCCAAGCCUGUUCACCCCACAGCCUUUCUAGACGACAAGGCUGGCAUGACCCACAUCGUCCAGGAAGUUGACAGUCCAGGAUCUAAGGUGAACAAGAAAGAAGUCGUGGAGGCUGUGACCAUUGUGGAAACCUCACCAAUGGUGGCUGUGGGCAUUGUGGGAUAUGUUGAAACCCCACAAGGCCUCCGGACUUUCAAGACUAUUUGCUGAGCUUAUCAGCGAUGAGUGUAAAAGGCGGUUCUAUACGAACUGGCACAAAUCUAAGAAGAAGGCUUUCACCAAGUACUGUAAGAAAUGGCAGGAUGGCACAGGCAAGAAGCAGCCGGAGAAGGACUUCAACAGAAUGAGGAGGUACUGUCAGGUCAUCCGCAUAAUUGUCCCCAUUCAGGUGCGUCUGCUUCCUCUGUGCCAGAAGGCGCACCUGAAUGGGCGCACUCGAUGGAGAUCCAGGUGAAUGGGGGCACUGUGGCUGAGAAGCUUGACUGGACCAGAGAGAGGCUGGAGCAGCAGGUUCCUGUGAACCAGGUGUUGGGGCAGGAUGCGAUGAUUGAUGUCAUCGGCAUGACAAAAGGUAAAGGGUACAAAGGGGUGACCAGUAAUUGGCAUACGAAGAAACUGCCCCAAAAGACCAUCAAGGUCUGCGCAAUGUUGUCUGUAUUGGGGCCUGGCACCCUGCCGGUGUGGCUCGAGCUGGGCAGAAAGGCUACCAUCACCAAACAGAGAUUCACAAGAACAUUUACAAGAUAAGUCAAGGCUACCUCAUCAAGGAUGGUCAACUGAUCAAGAGCAAUGCAUCUACUGACUAUGACUGUCUGAUAAGAGCAUCAACCCACUGGGGGGCUUUGUCCAUUUUGGUGAGGUGACCAGUGACUUCAUCACGCUCAAAGGCUGUGUGGUGGGGACCAAGAAGCGAGUGCUUACUCUCUGUAAGUCCUUGCUGGUCCAGACCAAAUGUUGGGCCCUGGAGAAGAUUGAACUGAAGUUCAUUGACACCACCUCCAAAUUUGGCCAUGGUCGUUUCCAGACCAUGGAGGAGAAGAAAGCAUUCAUGGGACCACUCAAGAAAGAUGGCAUUGCCAAGGAGGAAGGUGCCUGAUUCCAGGAUCAUUUUGCGCAGCUGGUAGGGUCUCAUCAAUAAAAUGUUUCUAGUAAAAAAAAAA